GGCGGGACGGGAGCAUCGCAGGAGCGUGCCGGUCUUAAAGGGGCCGCGUCGGCUUUGCACCCUUGCCUUGCAUGGCCAUCGCUGGAGCUUUCCUCGCCUUGGCUGGGCAACCUCCCUUCCUCCGUCCUGAAAGAAUACACUAUGUACUUUUUAGGGAGUGAAGGGGAGGCUGGAAGGGAACUCUGUACAUGCCCAGAGAGAAUCUCGGCCUUUGUUGCCACUUCUCUAUUGGCCUUCAGAUCCUGCCUCUGCUUAUUCAGUAAUGAACACAGCAAAGGGGACCAAGCAGGAUCACAACCUAAACCAGUGGUCCUAACAGCUAGUAAACUGUCUGGGAUUUCUGGGAGUUGUAGGCCAAAACACUAAUUUUAUAUAUAUAUUAGCUAUGCCCGGCCACGCGUUGCUGUGGCAAAGUAUGGUGGUAUGGGAAAUAAAGUAUUGAGGAAUUGGUGGUAGUUAAGGUAAAGGGUCCCCUGGGCUGAGUGGGUUGCUAGGAGACCAAGUGAACAGAGCUUAGCCUUCUAACUGGCAGCAAUUGGAUAAAAACAAAACAAUUAUUCCUCUCCCUCUAAUUAGGACUUUAUUUUUCUUUUCUUUUUGUUGUAUCAACCUAGAGGCAUGGAUGAGGGGUUGUGCUGGCAAGUUUCGAGGUUGUGGGAUGUUUACUUUUGUUGUUUUGUCCGCUGCCGUGAUGCCAUCACUCUUUUAUAUAUAUAUAUAAAUUUAUAAUAACUUAUAAAUAUAGAAUAUAUUGUAUAUACAUACAAUAUUGAUAAUCUUAUAAUGGAAUACAAUAUUAUACUAAUAAUGCAAUAUAAUAAUAUUAAUUAUAUAUUAUAAAUUAAAUGUGAUAUUACUAAUAAUAAAAAAGGGAAAGGUUUUCCCCUGACGUUAAGUCCAGUCAUGUCUGACUCUGGGGGUUGGUGCUCAUCUCCAUUUCUAAGCCGAAGAGCCGGCGUUGUCUGUAGACACCUCCAAGGUCAUGUGGCCAUUGGCAUGACUGCAUGGAGCGCCGUUACCUUCCCGCCGGAGCAGUACCUAUUGAUCUACUCACACUGGCAUGUUUUCGAACUGCUAGGUUGGCAAGAGCUGGAGCUAACAGUGGCCGCUCACGGGGAUUGAACCUGGGACCUUUCGGUCUCCAGCUCAGUGCUUUAACGCACUUUACAUGUAUAUAUGUAUAUACAUAUAAUAUUGAUAAUAAUAGAAUACAAUAUUAUACUAAUAAUACAAUAUAAUAAUAUUAAUUAUAUAUUAUAAAUUAAAUGUGAUAUUACUAAUAAUAUUACCAUAUAAUGAUAUAGUACAAUAUAGUAAUUUGAUGCUUAUAUAUUGUGCUAUGCUAAUAAUAUAUUGUAUGUUCAUUUGAUUCGUAAGCCACUCUGAGUCCCCUUCGGGGUGAGAAGAGCGGGAUAUAAAUGUCGCUAAUAAAUAAAUAAAUAAAAACACCUGGGGAUCCACAGGUUGAGAACCACUGGCCUAGAGGGACUGGUAGAUGAUAGACUUGGUGGAGGGACAUUUCAAGGGAAGGGAAGGGUCAGCUUCUUUGGAAUCAAUCUGACCCUUUUGUUGGCUCACCAACCCAGAAUGUCUUGAAGGCACCUGGCCAAUUUGUUUUGAUUCCCCUUUGUGCUGAAAUGGUUUGAGCCGUGAUUUGUUUUCCAGCCCUCUGGAGCCACAUAUGAGAGAAAGGCGGGAGAAAGUAAUCCAAUAAAUCACGGCUUCGGAGAUGUGUUUUCGAAUGUCACAGCCCACCCGCACCUGUGCUGCAACCGGAGCCCUCUGUAAACCCGGGAAGUCUCCAGGAACUUUUUGACACCAGAGAGGUUUCUUUUCUUCGGUGGCUUGGGUUUAAUGACUUCCCCAGCAUCCGGAUGAGAUUGCACACCUAACCAACACACAGGCAUCCCUCCUACCAACAGCACGGCAGAGCCCAUCCAGAGCAGGAAGGGAAGGGAAGGUGGCCAUGGCCUUCUCAGCAGCGCUUGGCACUGAGCCACCUGGAGAUAUAACUAGAGACUUCCGCAGCUGGAUCCAUGUGGCAACCUGGCUAAUCGGGACCCCUCUGGGCUAGAAACACGGGCUGGUAUCAGCUAUGUAGUUAAGUAGUGGUAAUGCAUACAGAACAGUGCCCUAGAUUUAUCCAUAACUGUGGCAUAUUCACAACCACAACCAGAUUUCAGCUGCCUGGGGAGUAUUUUAGUCACUUAUACCAGGAUGCAGAAUUCCUCUGUGUUUGCUCACAAGGACACAGCCAGAUGCUUGCCUGAUUCCCACAACUCUCAACCAACCAUUGAAGAUUAAUGCAGGUGGCUGUUGCAGCUAAACCAUGAGUUAGGAGGGUUGAGGUGUAGUUUCACAUUUGAUCCUACGCUUUGCCACAUAAGAUGUUGCCUCUUCCCUGCCUCCCUGCAGCGUGAUUCUGGGGAAAGUGCCGGCACCGGUGUCAACAGGAUUCCAGGGACAGAGUUGUCGUGAUCCUGAUCCGGCGUGGGCCCCCGUCCAAGGGAGAAAGAUCCAGUCCUUUGUCUGGCGAAGGAGCCUUUGCAGCAUGGUCAAUGGAGGUGUGUCGAAGAAGCACAUCUAUGGAUUUUGUUUCCUGUGAAUUUGGCCCCAGCAACUUGGACAUCAAGCAUUGCGAAUGCAGUUCUGAUGUGUUAUGACCCAGAGAAGAAGAGCAUUCCUUCCUAGUCGUGGACAGCUGCCUGGUAUAAGGGGAGCAGCACCAACAGAGAACAUGGAAUGAGAGAGAGAGGGAGAGAGAGUGCAAACAAGCACUGGACUGAUGUCCCUUGGAAUCCCUGCAAGCCACUCAGGUGAGUCACAUUCUCUCAGCCUCAGAAGGAAGCAAAGACCCAAUGUGGCCCAGAAAAAGCUGCCUUGGGCCCCAUGCUGGGAGAAAGCCCACAUACAAACUCAAUCCAUAAAAGAACAAAACA